rnacentral:rRNA from 1 species
UGGCCGGCCAAUGCUCCGGGGAAAUCGGGCCGCUCAACUGUCCGAAUUCCGGAGACACUGUUCGGCUUGGGAUCGGGAGAGGGUGAAGGUACUCCCUGGGUAGGGGUAAAAUCCUGUAAUCCGGGGGGGACCACCAGUGGCGAAGGCGUUCACCUAGAACGAAUCCGACAGUGAGGGACGAAGCCCUAGGGCGCAUACGGGAUUAGAUACCCCGGUAGUCUAGGGUGUAAACGCUGCAGACUUGGUGUUGGGGGUCCUGCGUGGGCUGCCAGUCGCCGGAGCGAAGGUGUUAAGUCUGCCGCUUGGGGAGUACGGUCGCAAGACUGAAACUUAAAGGAAUUGGCGGGAGAGCACCGCAUCGGGACGAGC